rnacentral:rRNA from 1 species
UACAGAGGAUGCAAGCGUUAUCCGGAAUGAUUGGGCGUAAAGCGUCUGUAGGUGGCUUUUUAAGUCCGCCGUCAAAUCCCAGGGCUCAACUCUGGACAGGCGGUGGAAACUACCAAGCUGGAGUACGGUAGGGGCAGAGGGAAUUUCCGGUGGAGCGGUGAAAUGCGUAGAUAUCUGGAGGAACACCGGUGGCGAAGGCGGCAUCCUGAACCGGAACUGACGCUGAGGCGCGAAAGCUAGGGGAGCAAACGGG